rnacentral:lncRNA from 1 species
UCAUGCAAACCUUUCCCCCAAACUUACCCAACAUGCAUAUCAACUAAUCCCACCUAGCACAUACCAGAAAACAUGCAUAAAGAGGUCCAAAACUAGCCUAAAACCUCAAACAAACACAGCAAACAACACUUAACAUGCUUGAACAUACACAUCUCCCAAAAACCUCACCUAAACCUAAUCAUGCAUACUACCCAUCAACCUUUCAUAAAACCUUGAAAAACCAUCAAAGAAGUUCAGGAUCCACCCUUACCUCCUUAAGAACUUGAGGAUGAGUGCUCCUAACGUGGAGAUAUGAAGAAAACCUCUUCCAAAGCUCCAAACUUCCAAACUUGCUAUUUUUGCUCAAAACCUUCAAAACACACCAAG